rnacentral:lncRNA from 1 species
AAAAACCCGAUAAUUCGCAUCCUUAAUUUCCAGCUGAAACUCACAAAAAUGGAGCCUGAACAGAUAGUAGAACCCAGAAUCUAAUGGGAAUGUCCAAUCCAGGCGUUGGCUGUAAUUGGCCAUUGUCCUAGAGGUUGUGUAAACUACGGUUGGCGUAGUAUAAGCGGGGGUUUGAGAAGUGUAAGUGAUGGGGACAUCUAAAUGUAGAGUUCUAAAACCAAGUCCAACAACAAAAUUCUGAUCUGCAGCCCAUUCACGAUACAUCCCCGUAUCCUCUGUGCUACUAACCAGAUUGCCUCCGACGUUCAGCCUGUAUAAAGUUUCAAGAGCAGUGCUGUUAUUGAUGUAAUAAAAAUUAUUCCGCCCCUGUACCAAUUUGAUGCCAUAUUCGUCUCCGCGGAUAUAAAGAUCAGUUGGCAUGGAAACAAUCUCAAUCCCGUUAACAAAAGCAUAAGAGUUUGGUGAAGGAGAAAAAGUUAUAUUGAGUAUUUGACUUUCAUCAACAUGGAUGACGUAUUCUUUUCGAAUUGCUUUACUAGACUCAUCAUCAUCACUAGCAGAGACAGUGAGGAAAGCGCUGAAGUUACUCAAGAGAGUGACAUGAUUAGCAGUAACAGAGAAAAAGGAUUCAGAUUUAUUGAAUCCAGAGUAGUCGGUCGGAUAAAAAUAGAGACGGAGGAAUUUAGUGCCAGGGGAAACAAUGAAAUUGUAGGUGAAUUGAGAUUGGAAAAUACGGGCACUCAUAUAAUAGACUCUAGUGACCUGUCCAGAAGCGUUGGCUGUUGUAGAUAUGCUUGAAAAAUCUGAAGGUAAGGAAUCUGGAUAGUUGGCAUCAGUACUCCAUAGACGGUCUUCGUCUAUAGCGUCUGAUGAUGCGCCACAGUUGAGCAAGAAAUGGACUGUGGCAUUGUACUGUGGCCUGAGAGCCAUAGUGACUGUCGUGAGAUGUAAUAGGACAAAGGAAAGCAAAGCAAUGGCUACCAUGGUGUUGCUAGUAAAAUUUCUGUAUUUGGCUACCAUGGCAUUUUUAUGACUUCUUUGACAAUCAACAAUUAUACUGCACAAUUGCCAAGACUUGAUUGUUGACUCUCAAUUCACUUGAGUUAUUUCUAAUUUUCCAUUUGGUUGAAAGCUGCCGUUCCGAGACUAUUUCCUUAGUCAUUGGUCGUUUUAUUUACUUUAUUGUUUAAGUUUUGUUAAGAAGAAAUAUCUUAAUAACUUGUUGUAAUCAGUUCAAUUGAAUUGAUGGUGUAAAAUUUCUUUAAUAUUAUCAAGUAUAUUAUUUUUAAGUUAUUUCAGUCCAAGUUGGAGGUCUGUUAGUGUGAGGGGUAAGAGUGAGCCAAAAAACUAACUAGUGCAGAGAUUGUGGUAAGAUUGGCGAAAUAUGUUUCUGUUCGAAUACUUCUGACUAUCAUAAAUCAAGAAAAAAUAAAGUCGAUCAGUGAAUGCAAAGUAUCAUUGCUCACUACUAUUACCAUAUAUAUAUGUUGGACACUAAUUCAACCAGAAAAAAUGAAUAUCUAUGAAAUGGAGAGAAGUAGGAAUUAAGUGUACCACUUAGCAGGUUCAGUAAGUAGUUUAUACUUUGCAUUUCCAUUCAAUUUGAUAUUUACAACGAGGGAAUACUCCUGUUAUGUCUGAGUAUGGCCUAAAUUAAAAAUCAACACCCGCUAAAUUUCUUGAUGGAGAACAAAAAAGAAGGUAAAAGUAGCAAAUAGCCAGUUUACACAGAAUAUUCUUGUUGCUUAAUUUCUUUUUCUUUAAUUAUAAAGCAUCACAUCUUUUUAAUUAUCACUUCACUCUAAUUAUCAUUAGAAUAUUAUAGUGAGUGAAUAUUCAGAAACAUAUUUCUCGCCAAAUCUUCACCAAACAAACGGAAGGAAAGAGAAUAGAACACAAUCAAUUUUCUUUUAUAAACCUUUUUUUAUGCCUCCCAGGAGCUAUCCACUUUGCUUUCUUGGUGACUCGAACCCGCAAUCUCACAAUUAGCGAUGGAGAAUGCUUACCACUUGAGCAACCUUCUCUUGUCGAACAUAACCAAGUUUGGUUCUAUAUGUUGGGUUUUAAAGAUAAAAUCUCCAACACGUUAUAUAUGCCGGAGUUGAUUACUUGGAGAAGCUUGAACUCUGGCAUUAUGUGCUGAAGUUUUUCCAUAUUUUAGUUAAGAGUCUACAUUUGAAUUUGUGAUUGUUUUUCAAUAUAUGUCUGAAAUUCUAAAGGGCUUCUACUUAGGAAUUAGCAAAUAUGUCUUGAAUUUUAAAUUUUCAAGACACAAUCCUGAAUUACUCUGAAACUAAGAUUUUUAAUGCAAAUUUUCAGGACAAAAUAAAUAUUGGUUAAUCCCUAAAUAGCAGCCUUAAGAAUGGAUGUUUGUGCACUUUCCCCUAAAGUGGACACUCAGUACCAUUUUUACUAAGAAGAUCUACUAACUGGACUGUCGAAACAACCUGUUGGGCUGAUCUAUAACCUUAUUUACUGUUUUGGGCUAGUUUUUGAAUGUUGCCCACGGACUAACGAGUCACAAAAGGGCCUAAAAUCUAUUAGCAAGAAGGCGACAACUCAUGUUCCUCGUCUCGUCUAAUGUCUACUACUUCCACUCUUACAUUUUAUACGAAUCCACGUAUGAUAACACUAUUUUUUUUUUUUUUGAUUUAUCUCAACAAAAAUAACAUAUUAAUGACAUGCUCUUAUAGCCAUAAAAAUAUCAUGACAUAUUUAAGAACUCUAUCUCGAUGUCUAUAAACUAACAUUCUCACAAAAGGUAGGUAGCUUAUAGCAAGGGAAAUUGAUAAUAUGCCGGGUUCAUUAGAUUCUACCACUGCGAGGCUCAGUUGCUUUUGUUCCAUUACUCAAAUCAUUCAAUGCAUUUAGAGCUAUUUAAGUUGCCAACUAUCAAGUAGCAGAUUAAGUGCAGUAAGUAGAAUACAAUAUAUGAAGUGUUUUUGAGGAGGACUUGAGGGAGAUGUCAUGAAGUUAAUUACUGUGGCAACUGGCAACUCUUAGUUGUUGGUGAUAUGCUUUUCAUCUACGUCCUCAAAUAAAUGGUUUAACUCAUUGAAGGAUUGAGAUAUUAAUUAAUGAUCCAAGAGUUGAACUAGUCAACGAAUGAUGAAGAAAGAUGCAAAGUUAUGAAUUAAAAAUGGGGACCAUAAACCCAAGAAAAAGACAUGGAAAAAAAAGGCGAGGAAAACUUGUUAAUUGGAUAGUCUAUCUUUUCUUGUAGGCCAUGGAAACGACUUGUCUUAACACGUAUUAGGCGUUUGACAUAAUUUUCUUACCCUAUUUGGUUUUUCUAUUUGUUGAAGGAAAUGACAAUAUAAUUAACUUAAUUAGGUUUUUCUUUUUGUAGAAGGAAAUUAUAAUUCUCAUAUACUUGGCUAGUCCUUUUUCUUGUAGGAAAAGGUUUGGAGUUCUAUAAAUUGAAGAUUCGUGCUUCUCAUUCAGUAGCAUCCACAAUGUAGCCAUAGGGGGCUUGAGAGUCUUGUUUAGAGGGAGAACUUUACGGGACAAGUGUUAGUGUGUCACUUGUGUUUGCCUCUUCGUAAGGUUGUUCUCUCGAUAUUUUGUACUCUCUUUUUAUAUAGUGGAUUGCUCAUUUCAGUGGUGGACGUAGGUCAGUUGACGGAACCACGUUAAAUGUUUGUGUCUCUUUUGUUAUAUUUCUCCUUUGUUGUAUGAUUUAUCGUCGUUCAAGGUUUGCUUUGUUAGCUUCCGUAUGACACUUGAUUUUUACUUCCUAACAGUACUAAGUUGCCUUUCAUUUUCAUAGUCUGUUAUUUUCCGUUCAAUAAUUCCAGUGGAGCCAUCGGCCAGAUAUAGACAUAUUUCACAUACACGUGAAAUGAAAGGCAUAUAUUGGGUGAUUUUUCUUCAGAAUUUGGAUGAUUCUUUGUUACUCAUAUUUUGAUCAGACUUUUCAACACUUAAUGAGUUGUAAGACAUUAACUUUUUCUUUUGAUAAUUUUGUGAAAAAAGUUGCGGAGCCCUACAUGUUCAUAUUUAAAUACGUGUAACGACACAUCAAAUAAUUAAGAGUCAUAAAUUUCAGGUAGGGAAAAAAAUUAAUUACCCGUAAUUACUACUUCCACCCCUAUAGUGCCAUGUUUAUUGGGUCUAAGACAAACAAACAAAACGAAGAAGAAAAGUAGAAGUCACUCAUUUAUUACUGGGCCAUGAACAUGAUAUAGCAACCUUUUCUUGUUCCUAUUCAUUUUAUGUUGUUUCCUUUUCUUGAUAUGAUUUAUUUUCUUCUGCUUAAAAGUCUUCUCCGUAUGGCAGUAUGCCAGACAUAUACUUUAGAAUAAAUUCUCAAACCACCUAACCUUAUUAACUCGACAUUAGUCGUUUAUCCAAUAAUUAAUGGAACUUUAUUCUACCCAAGAAAAAAUAGUAAAACUUUAUAAUAGCUAUAUAAUUCCAAAAUAUUCGCUACAAUUCAUUGAUAUUAUAAGGAAAUUUACUCAACAAAGGAAAAAGAAAAAAGAGAAGAUCUAAUAUUUAAUUCAUCAGUUUGUAACAAUCUCAUUGACCAGAUGGAUUCAGGAUCUCAGAGAAAAUGGUGUCGCACGCUAUUCAAUUUAUCACUAUAACAACAUGUCAUGGAUGUAGCACUACUUUUCGAGUUGGAAACUAACUUGAAGCGGAAAACCCCGUCAUUUUCCAGAAGAGCGCGCUAAUAUGUAACUUAUCGUGCUACCCAUAACAAUUUCAUCUGCCUAAUGGAUUUCGAAUCUCAGAGAAAAUAGUGCCACUCUUCAAUUUGUCACUACUGGUCAUGGAGCUACCACUGCUUGUCCACUUGCCUCCAACUUCACCUGAACCUGAAAAAGCCUCACUUUCAUCUGUCGAUAUAUUGGUUUGAUCAUUCAAAAUCAUGGGGAGAGAAGGGCUAGCCGGGUAGCUGUACCCUUCCACUGUGUGACCUCUAUUAUCUGCAGCUUCUUGAAGUUGUAAUGCAAAUUCUAAAGUCCACACAACAUCACUCAUUGGUGGCCUUUGGACCCCUUGAUCCUUCAAACAACUAGAUGCUACUUCUGCAAACUUGCUUAAACACUCUGGUGCAAUUUGUCCUUCCAAACAAGGAUCAAUUAUCUGAUCAAGAUUCCCUUUUCUACAGCACCUACAAGCCCAAUCAGCCAAAUUCACUUGGCCUUUUGGCAAGUUUUGAAUUAUUGCUGGCCUAGCGCACAACACUUCAAAUAGUACCACUCCAAAGGAAUACACAUCUGAUUUUUCUGUCAAUUGUUGUCGCUUGUAGUAUUCAGGGUCUAAGUACCCAAAACUUCCUUUCACCGCCGUGCUAACGUGAGUAAUAUCUGUCCCACCAAGCGGACCAACUUUGGACAAUCCAAAAUCUGACACCUUAGCGACCCAUUUAUCGUCCAAUAAAAUGUUAGUCGACUUGACAUCUCGGUGAAUGAUGGUGUGCUUUGUACCUAUUAAAUUAAUUUCAGAAUCAUAACAACUAUACUUUAUCAAAUAGUAUAACAAUAAAGUCACUAAUUUUACCCGCUAUAAACCACAAAACCUACCAAUCAUCAUGGCAACUUUAAGCUUAAAGUGGAUUAAAUUACUUCAACAUGAAAAAUAAUAGACUUUUAUCAUUGUAAAGUUUAGUGACGAUAGUUGAAAUUAACCAUAUACCUGUAUGGAGAUAACACAAUCCUUUUGCUGCGCCAAUACAAAUCUCAAGGCGUUUCUUCCAUGGAAGAGGAACAUUAUUAGAUCUGUACAAGUGAUCGCGUAGGGUUCCAUGAGUCAUGUAAUCAUAAACCAAGAUCAUCUCAUAGUUAUCAUCACAAUAACCAAUCAAGGACACCAGAUGCAAAUGCCUUAGCUUCGAUAGCAUCUCAAUCUCUGUUUGGAACUCGCGAGCUCCUUGCUUUGACGAAGGAUUCAGUCUCUUGACUGCAACAAUGGUUGUACCAUUGUCUAUGCACCCUUUAUACACAUUACCAAAACCUCCAUAGCCAAUCACAAAAUUGUCAUCAAAAUUGCCUGUUGCGGCUUUAAUCUCAUCUAAUAAAAAGUGUCUGCACAAAUCGGACGGUAGCGUUGAUGAGCCUGAGCGGCCGGUCUUUUGAGUUGACUCCGACUUAAUUGACAUCCACGAUGUCUUUGUAACGCUUCCACCGGAAUCUUUCCCACUUUUCCGUCGACGGAAAAUAAAAAACCCCAGAAUUGAGAGAACAGCUAAUGCGCUAAUCACACCUGCAAUGACAUAAAUAACGGUAUGCGAUGAUUUUUUAUCUUUGUUGAUUGGUGGUGAAUUAAUCGGAACUUGUAAGUGCGAUUCAGGAUUUGGCACGGCCAGAUUUCCAUGUGUGUCAUUCAAUUUGAAAAUUUCUAAGCCAUUUAAGAUAGCAUUAGCAUACACAGCUUUUGUUUCCAUGUUAGGGCGCAAUUCAAGCACUUCAUCUUCCUUGCUUCGCCGGCCAUCUGUGUCUCUCACAUACACCACGUAGUCUCUGUAAACCGGGAUUCUCCAGCCGCCGCUCCAUUGUAUUACAUCAGCCAAUUCCUCUGCCGUUUGGUUUCCAAUGGAUAUAUCAAAAACCCGAUAAUUCGCAUCCUUAAUUUCCAGCUGAAACUCACAAAAAUGGAGCCUGAACAGAUAGUAGAACCCAGAAUCUAAUGGGAAUGUCCAAUCCAGGCGUUGGCUGUAAUUGGCCAUUGUCCUAGAGGUUGUGUAAACUAUUGUUGGCGCAGUAUAAGCCGGGGUUUGAGAAGUGUAAGUAAUGGGGACAUCUAAAUGUGGAGUUUGAAAACCAAGUGCAACAACAAAAUUCUGAUCUGCAGCCCAUUCGCGAUACAUCCCUGUAUCCUCUUUGCU